rnacentral:rRNA from 1 species
UCUACGGGCGGCUGCAGUGGGGAAUAUUGCACAAUGGGCGCAAGCCUGAUGCAGCCAUGCCGCGUGUGUGAAGAAGGCCUUCGGGUUGUAAAGCACUUUCAGCGGGGAGGAAGGCGUUAAGGUUAAUAACCUUGUCGAUUGACGUUACCCGCAGAAGAAGCACCGGCUAACUCCGUGCCAGCAGCCGCGGUAAUACGGAGGGUGCAAGCGUUAAUCGGAAUUACUGGGCGUAAAGCGCACGCAGGCGGUCUGUCAAGUCGGAUGUGAAAUCCCCGGGCUCAACCUGGGAACUGCAUUCGAGACUGGCGGGCUAGAGUCUUGUAGAGGGGGGUAGAAUUCCAGGUGUAGCGGUGAAAUGCGUAGAGAUCUGGAGGAAUACCGGUGACGAAGGCGGCCCCCUGGACAAAGACUGACGCUCAGGUGCGAAAGCGUGGGGAGCAAACAGGAUUAGAUACCCCGGUAGGC